rnacentral:rRNA from 1 species
ACUCCUACGGGAGGCAGCAGUGGGGAAUAUUGCACAAUGGGGAAACCCUGAUGCAGCCAUGCCGCGUGUGUGAAGAAGGCCUUCGGUUGUAAAGCACUUUCAGUAGGGAGGAAGGUAGUGUAGUUAACACCUGCACUAUUUGUACGUUACCUACAGAAGAAGCACCGGCUAACUCCGUGCCAGCAGCCGCGGUAAUACGGAGGGUGCGAGCGUUAAUCGGAAUUACUGGGCGUAAAGCGCAUGCAGGCGGCCUGUUAAGUCAGAUGUGAAAGCCCGGGGCUUAACCUCGGAAUUGCAUUUGAAACUGGCAGGCUAGAGUCUUGUAGAGGGGGGUAG